rnacentral:rRNA from 1 species
CCUACGGGUGGCAGCAGUGAGGAAUAUUGGUCAAUGGACGCAAGUCUGAACCAGCCAUGCCGCGUGCAGGAAGACGGCUCUAUGAGUUGUAAACUGCUUUUGUACGAGGGUAAACGCAGAUACGCGUAUCUUUCUGAAAGUAUCGUACGAAUAAGGAUCGGCUAACUCCGUGCCAGCAGCCGCGGUACUACGGAGGAUUCAAGCGUUAUCCGGAGUUAUUGGGUUUAAAGGGUGCGUAGGCGGUCGGAUAAGUUAGAGGUGAAAUCCCGAGGCUCAACUUCGGAAUUGCCGCUGUUACUGUUCGGCUAGAGAGUAGUUGCGGUAGGCGGAAUGUAUGGUGUAGCGGUGAAAUGCUUAGAGAUCAUACAGAACACCGAUUGCGAAGGCAGCUUACCAAGCUACUUCUGACGUUGAGGCACGAAAGCGUGGGGAGCAAACAGGAUUAGAUACCCCAGUAGUC